GAUAAAGUUUCUGCAACUAUGGAGUUAUUAGUAGAGAAAGCAAUCAGCAGUGCUUCUAGCCCUCAGGGCCCUGGGGAUGCACUGAGAAGAGUUUUUGAGUGCAUUUCUUCAGGGAUUAUUUUUAAAGGUAGUCCUGGGCUUCUGGAUCUUUGUGAAAAGGAUCCCUUUGAUACCUUGGCAACAAUGACUGACCAGCAGUGUGAAGACUUCACAUCCAGUACACAGUUUGCAUUCAGACUCCUUGCAUUCCACCAGAUAUACAAAGUUAUAGGCAUGGAUCCAUUACCACAAAUGAGCCAACAUUUUAACAUCCAUGACAACAGGAAAUGAAGAAGGGAUAGUGAUGGAGUUGAUGGAUUUGAAGCUGAGGAGAAAAAAAGACAAAAAAAGAUUAUGAUAACUUUUAAAAGGUGUC
rnacentral:lncRNA from 1 species